UACGUAGGGUGCGAGCGUUGUCCGGAAUUAUUGGGCGUAAAGGGCUCGUAGGCGGUUUGUCACGUCGGGAGUGAAAACUCGGGGCUCAACCCCGAGCCUGCUUCCGAUACGGGCAGACUAGAGGUAUGCAGGGGAGAAUGGAAUUCCUGGUGUAGCGGUGAAAUGCGCAGAUAUCAGGAGGAACACCGGUGGCGAAGGCGGUUCUCUGGGCAUUACCUGACGCUGAGGGGCGAAAGUGUGGGGAGCGAACAGG
rnacentral:rRNA from 1 species